rnacentral:sRNA from 14 species
GUCAACCACCCAUCACUUCCCUUCGUAAGUGAGGGGUUGUAAAAGCCUAGUUGACCAGACUCAGUUCUUAACCGAACUACGUUAGAGGUAAGAGUUAAAGACCUACCAGGGGAUGCGUAGCUAGUUCCCUGCUCUAGA